UACGGGGGGAGCAAGCGUUGUUCGGAUUUACUGGGCGUAAAGGGCGCGUAGGCGGUCAGCACAAGUCAGUUGUGAAAUCUCCGGGCUUAACUCGGAAAGGUCAACUGAUACUGUGCGACUAGAGUGCGGAAGGGGCAACUGGAAUUCUCGGUGUAGCGGUGAAAUGCGUAGAUAUCGAGAGGAACACCUGCGGCGAAGGCGGUCCGAUCUGGACCGGUGACUGACACUGAGACGCG
rnacentral:rRNA from 1 species